rnacentral:lncRNA from 1 species
CUAAACUUUAGUUCUUUUACAAUAAGCACUUAAGCUUUUAACUAAACUUCAUCAAAUUGUUCAAUAGACUUUUCUCCUUAAUUAAAGAUAUUAAUUGCACAAUAUAUGGUUUUGGUCAUUUAUAUUACUUAUCUAUUAACCUAUAUAAAUUCCCAAUAUUUUUGCCACGUGGCAAGUUUUCUUUCAACCUCACUAGCCCUUUUUUUAAACUGACAUUUGCUCUUGGCUCUUCCCCUCCCAUCCUCUCUAUUCAAUGACCUGUAAUCAAUGUGCUCUUUAAUUUAUACGUUACUUAUUUUUCUCUUCAAUAUUGGCCAUUUCUUCUCCCUCAAACCUCUUUUCAACACCAAAUCUUUUACUUUCCAAUCCUUUGAAAUCACGAGAAUUAAUUAAUCCAAAAUGCAACAUUUAAUUAUAUGCACCAUAUUCCACCAAUGACUGGGCUGCGUAACUCUAAUCCACUCCUCACCUCCAUUAAUACCCCUACCCCACUCUCUUUUGCAUGGUCUCUUAUUUUUCAAUUAAAAAAGAACAUAAUCAUCUAAUCUCGCACCCCACACUCAUCUAGCCCUCUCUCUCAUUGUGUUAAUGAAGAUGAUGAGGAUAAUGAAGAAGAAGAAGAAGAGCAAACGAAGAAUGUUGUUUCCUUCGAGAAGUAUUGUCCCGCAAAGCCGAGCCGCAGCCCAUAUAGGUGCCCGCUGGGUUGAUUCAGCUGUGCUGGAGCUAGUUCUUUUUUAUCUUUCACAACAAAAUGUUCAAGAGGCACAUACAUAAUACGAUAAAAUUGUAUGUCUCUUACUGUAUUUUGAUGAUUUUAAAAAAAAUUAUAUAAACUUCUAACUAUAAUAUUAUUUUUUUAACAGUUGAAUUUAGUCAUGCAAAUUGACUAUGCUUAACAUGGUAUAGCUUCCUAUACAUCAAAAAGCUGUAAAUAUAAAUUUUAUUAAAAUUUUAAAAUUUUGUUUUUAUUAUCUAUCCGCUGCAUUGCGCGGGUUUCUACACUAGUUUAUAUUCAUACCUAUACAUAAUUUCUUAUGGUCAAAUCUAACGUGGAUGUAUCACCUUCAUUUGAGGGUUGUGGGUCCAACUAUUGUUUUAAAUUUUUCUCUAUCCUUUCUUCUACUUAGUAAACCCUUCCUCUCCCUUGUAGCCACAUCUUUCAACUCUCUUUCUCUCUCUCUCUUUUCUUUUUCCUCCCAUCUCUUACCUUUCUUUAUCUCCCAAACCGAUAGCGGCGUCUCUCCCUCUCCCCUCAUCUCACCUAUGCAGCUGUUUUGAAUCUCUCCAUGAAUGAUUUUAAAUUUUUUUUUCUCUCCCCUUUUUCCUCUCACUCGCCACUCGGA